GAUGACGAGUGGCGGACGGGUGAGUAAUGCUUGGGAACUUGCCUUUAGGAGGGGGAUAACAGUUGGAAACGACUGCUAAUACCGCAUAAUGUCUACGGACCAAAGGGGGCUUCGGCUCUCACCUAAAGAGAGGCCCAAGUGAGAUUAGCUAGUUGGUAAGGUAAAAGCUUACCAAGGCGACGAUCUCUAGCUGUUCUGAGAGGAAGAUCAGCCACACUGGGACUGAGACACGGCCCAGACUCCUACGGGAGGCAGCAGUGGGGAAUAUUGCACAAUGGGGGAAACCCUGAUGCAGCCAUGCCGCGUGUGUGAAGAAGGCCUUCGGGUUGUAAAGCACUUUCAGUUGUGAGGAAAGGUUGGUAGUUAAUACCUGCCAGCUGUGACGUUAACAACAGAAGAAGCACCGGCUAACUCCGUGCCAGCAGCCGCGGUAAUACGGAGGGUGCGAGCGUUAAUCGGAAUUACUGGGCGUAAAGCGCACGCAGGCGGUUUGUUAAGCUAGAUGUGAAAGCCCCGGGCUCAACCUGGGAUGGUCAUUUAGAACUGGCAGACUAGAGUCUUGGAGAGGGGAGUGGAAUUCCAGGUGUAGCGGUGAAAUGCGUAGAUAUCUGGAGGAACAUCAGUGGCGAAGCGGCUCCCUGGCCAAAGACUGACGCUCAUGUGCGAAAGUGUGGGUAGCGAACAGGAUUAGAUACCCUGGUAGUCCACACCGUAAACGCUGUCUACUAGCUGUUUGUGAAUUUAAUUCGUGAGUAGCGAAGCUAACGCGAU
rnacentral:rRNA from 1 species